rnacentral:rRNA from 1 species
UGGGGAAUUUUGCACAAUGGGGGAAACCCUGAUGCAGCGACGCCGCGUGAUUUAGAAGGCCUUCGGGUUGUAAAAAUCUUUUGUAUGGGAAGAAAAUGACAGUACCAUACGAAUAAGGACCGGCUAAUUACGUGCCAGCAGCCGCGGUAAUACGUAAGGUCCGAGCGUUGUCCGGAAUCAUUGGGCGUAAAGGGUACUUAGGCGGAUAAGUAAGUUAGAAGUGAAAUCCUAUAGCUCAACUAUAGUAAGUUUUUAAAACUGCUCAUCUUGAGGUAGGGAAGGGAAAGUGGAAUUCCUAGUGUAGCGGUGAAAUGCGCAGAUAUUAGGAGGAAUACCGGUGGCGAAGGCGACUUUCUGGCCAUAUACUGACGCUGAGGUACGAAAGCGUGGGUAGCAAACAGG